GGAGCGAUUUGGUUAUUGAAAUCUAUGAUAAUCCUGCUUCUAAUUCUGAAUUUCACAUGCCUAAAUAUCUUGUUUUAUUCUUGCAGUGAUACAUUAACUGGUGCUACAAAUGAUUAUUUCCGUUGUGUUCUUCCGCGAGAUAGGUGUUGUCAAACAUGUGCAUAGAGCUGUAUUUGUUGACUUUUGGAGCCAAUUACUGUGGAUGAAGUGAGAACUGUUGUAUCCCGGCAAUGCUUGAAUUGCAAGAACUUAACUGGGCUCUAAUGCAUAUGAAGGGCAAAACCUGUGUUGCUUAAGUUUUCAGAAUGACGUUAGCAGCCAGUUUUUACUACAUUUGGCAAGAGAGGAAUAAAAGAAUCUUCCAAGUAGAGAAAUUCUGGAAUUUUUAGCAAGCAGAUCAGAUGUUCAUGGUAGAGGUGUUUUGUUUCCUAGACAAGCCAGUCAAUUGGAAGAAAUUAACAUCUAUCCCUAUGAUCUGUGUAGUCCUUUGAAAUAGGGAGAUAGCUUUUGUUACUAGGAGACUGUGAACUUGGGGCUGUUGUCCAAGUUACCUGGUUAUGCUUUGUAAAUACGCUAUGUACUUACCAAACGAUACAUGAAGAAUUAUAAAUGACUGGAUCAUUUUGUAUACUUUUCGGAUGAGCGUGUUUGAAUGCAUUUGAAAGGAUUAUUACUUUUUUUUUUUGGUUCGAAACUCAGCAGAAAAAUAGCAGUCCAAAACAUCAGUCCAAAACAACAGAAAAAAAGCAAAAAACAGCAGUCCAAAACAGCGAAAAA